rnacentral:rRNA from 1 species
UACAGAGGGUGCAAGCGUUGUUCGGAAUUACUGGGCGUAAAGGGUGCGUAGGCGGUCGGGUAAGUCUGAUGUGAAAUCUCACAGCUUAACUGUGAAACUGCAUUGGAUACUAUCCGGCUCGAGGAAUGGAGGGGAGACUGGAAUACUUGGUGUAGCAGUGAAAUGCGUAGAUAUCAAGUGGAACACCAGUGGCGAAGGCGAGUCUCUGGACAUUUCCUGACGCUGAGGCACGAAAGCUAGGGGAGCAAACAGG